GGGGGUCGUGGUCGUUCUGGUGGUUCUGAUUUGAAAUGCUACGAGUGUGGUGAGCCUGGGCAUUUUGCUCGUGAGUGCCGUUUACGUGGUGGCGGCGGCGGCGGCGGUUCUGGAAGAAGACGUAGCCGCAGUCCUCGAUACCGCCGGAGUCCAAGUUAUGGUCGCAGGAGUUACAGUCCCCGUGGAAGAUCUCCAAGACGCCGCAGCUUGUCACCUCGUGGACGUAGCUUUAGCAGAUCACCUCCAUACCGUGGUAGAGAGGAACUACCUUAUGCCAAUGGAAAUGGUGUAAAGGACCGGCGUCGGAGCAGGAGCUGAGGACCACCAACUUCUCAACUUGCCUUAGUUAACACAGGAUGUUUAGAGGAUUACUCCGGUUCUAUAUGUUUUUAGUGCUUGGACUUCGUAACGGACCUUUUUAAAAUCGGGCGACGCCCUCAGCCUCUACUUUUGAGUUUGGAUAAGUCCUUUCUAUCUUUUGUUUGAAUUGUUUUUCUUUUAGU
rnacentral:misc_RNA from 1 species